rnacentral:lncRNA from 1 species
GUGAAACUGAAGCUCCUCGUGGGAGAGAGAAGGGCGGGCAGAGGGACGGCUCUUUGUGAGAAGCUGCCAGCAGAAGUUGGGAGCCUUCACCUUCUGGCUCUCAGCCUGUCCUCGCAGGGCGGUGUCCCAUCCCUGGGAUCGCUUCUGUGGCCCUCUGGAUGUGCUCCAACAGCUCCACGUCCCUCCUGUGCUGAGGACUCCCCAUCUGGACGCAGUGCUCCAG